AUUGAACGCUGGCGGCAGGCUUAACACAUGCAAGUCGAGCGGAGUGAUGGUGCUUGCACUAUCACUUAGCGGCGGACGGGUGAGUAAUGCUUAGGAAUCUGCCAUUUAGUGGGGGACAACAUUCCGAAAGGAAUGCUAAUACCGCAUACGGCCUACGGGAGAAAGCAGGGGGUCUUCGGACCUUGCGGUAAAUGAUGAGCCUAAGGCGGAUUAGCUAGUUGGUGGGGUAAGGGCCUACCAAGGCGACGAUCUGUAGCGGGUCUGAGAGGAUGAUCCGCCACACUGGGACUGAGACACGGCCCAGACUCCUACGGGAGGCAGCAGUGGGGAAUAUUGGACAAUGGGCGGAAGCCUGAUCCAGCCAUGCCGCGUGUGUGAAGAAGGCCUUUUGGUUGUAAAGCACUUUAAGCGAGGAGGAGGCUACUAGUACUAAUACUACUGGAUAGUGGACGUUACUCGCAGAAUAAGCACCGGCUAACUCUGUGCCAGCCGCCGCCGUAAGAC
rnacentral:rRNA from 1 species